rnacentral:pre_miRNA from 1 species
AAGUAAUAGUUAUGAUGAUGAUGAUGAUGAUGAUGAUGAUGAUGAUCAUCAUCAUCAUCAUCAUCAUCAUCAUCAUCAUCAUCAUCAUCAUCAUCA